AACACAUGCAAGUCGAUUCGAUUUACCUUCGUGUAUUGAUGAUGGCGGACGGGAGAGUAACACGGAAGAAACUUGCCUCUUGGACUGCCACAACUGGGGGAAACAACAGCUAAUACCAGAUAUUAUGACACUCUCGCCCGAGAAACUAAAGAAAGCUAUCUGCGCCAAUAGAGAGCCUUGCUUUCCAUUAGCUAGAUGGUGGAGUAGUGGCCCACCAGGGCCACCAUGGAUACCCGGCCUGAGAGGGAGAACAGCAACACGGGGACUGAGACACCGACCUUACUCCCACAGCACCGCCGAGUGGGGAAUAUUGGACAAUGGGCCCACAAGCCUGAUCCAGCAAUUCUGUGUGCACGAUGAAGGUCUUCGGAUUGUAAAGUGCUUUCAGUUGGGAAGAAGAAAGCGACGGUACCAACAGAAGAAGCGACGGCUAAAUACGUGCCAGCAGCCGCGGUAAUACGUAUGUCGCAAGCGUUAUCCGGAUUUAUUGGGCGUAAAGCGCGUCUAGGCGGAAAAAUAAGUCUGAUGUUAAAAUGCGGGGCUCAACUCCGUAUUGCGUUGGAAACUGUUUUUCUAGAGUACUGGAGAGGUGGGCGGAACUACAAGUGUAGAGGUGAAAUUCGUAGAUAUUUGUAGGAAUGCCGAUGGAGAAGUCAGCUCACUGGACAGAUACUGACGCUGAAGCGCGAAAGCGUGGGGAGAAAACAGGAUUAGAUACCCUGGUAGUCCACGCCGUAA
rnacentral:rRNA from 1 species